rnacentral:rRNA from 1 species
UACGGAGGAUCCAAGCGUUAUCCGGAAUCAUUGGGUUUAAAGGGUCCGUAGGCGGUUUUGUAAGUCAGUGGUGAAAGCCCAUCGCUCAACGGUGGAACGGCCAUUGAUACUGCAAGACUUGAAUUACUAGGAAGUAACUAGAAUAUGUAGUGUAGCGGUGAAAUGCUUAGAUAUUACAAUGGAAUACCAAUUGCGAAGGCAGGUUACUACUAGUGGAUUGACGCUGAUGGACGAAAGCGUGGGGAGCGAACAGG